rnacentral:rRNA from 1 species
UGGGAUAAGCGUUGGAAACGACGUCUAAUACCGGAUACGACCCUCGGAGGCAUCUCCUGGGGGUGGAAAGAAUUUUGGUCAAGGAUGAGCUCGCGGCCUAUCAGCUAGUUGGUGAGGUAAUGGCUCACCAAGGCGACGACGGGUAGCCGGCCUGAGAGGGUGACCGGCCACACUGGGACUGAGACACGGCCCAGACUCCUACGGGAGGCAGCAGUGGGGAAUAUUGCACAAUGGGCGAAAGCCUGAUGCAGCAACGCCGCGUGAGGGAUGACGGCCUUCGGGUUGUAAACCUCUUUUAGUAGGGAAGAAGCGAAAGUGACGGUACCUGCAGAAAAAGCACCGGCUAACUACGUGCCAGCAGCCGCGGUAAUACGUAGGGUGCAAGCGUUGUCCGGAAUUAUUGGGCGUAAAGAGCUCGUAGGCGGUUUGUCGCGUCUGCUGUGAAAUCUGGGGGCUCAACCCCCAGCCUGCAGUGGGUACGGGCAGACUAGAGUGCGGUAGGGGAGAUUGGAAUUACCUGGUGUAGCGGUGGAAUGCGCAGAUAUCAGGAGGAACACCGAUGGCGAAGGCAGAUCUCUGGGCCGUAACUGACGCUGAGGAGCGAAAGCAUGGGGAGCGAACAGGAUUAGAUA